rnacentral:rRNA from 1 species
AGUGAACGCUGGCGGUAGGCCUAACACAUGCAAGUCGAACGGCAGCACAGUAAGAGCUUGCUCUUACGGGUGGCGAGUGGCGGACGGGUGAGGAAUACAUCGGAAUCUACUUUUUCGUGGGGGAUAACGUAGGGAAACUUACGCUAAUACCGCAUACGACCUACGGGUGAAAGCAGGGGAUCUUCGGACCUUGCGCGAUUGAAUGAGCCGAUGUCGGAUUAGCUAGUUGGCGGGGUAAAGGCCCACCAAGGCGACGAUCCGUAGAUGGUCUGAGAGGAUGAGCAGCCACACUGGAACUGAGACACGGUCCAGACUCCUACGGUAGGCAGCAGUGGGGAAUAUUGGACAAUGGGCGCAAGCCUGAUCCAGCCAUACCGCGUGGGUGAAGAAGGCCUUCGGGUUGUAAAGCCCUUUUGUUGGGAAAGAAAAGCAGCAGGUUAAUACCCCGCUGUUCUGACGGUACCCAAAGAAUAAGCACCGGCUAACUUCGUG